UACGGGGGGGGCAAGCGUUGUUCGGAAUUACUGGGCGUAAAGGGCUCGUAGGCGGCCAACUAAGUCGGACGUGAAAUCCCUCGGCUCAACCGGGGAACUGCGUCCGAUACUGGAUGGCUCGAGUCCGGGAGAGGGAUGCGGAAUUCCAGGUGUAGCGGUGAAAUGCGUAGAUAUCUGGAGGAACACCGGUGGCGAAGGCGGCAUCCUGGACCGGCACUGACGCUGAGGUGCGAAAGCGUGGGGAGCAAACAGG
rnacentral:rRNA from 1 species